ACGCACGCUGGCGGCGUGCUUCACACAUGCAAGUCGAACGGUGAAGCGCCUUCCUUUUUGGUGGGUGUGGAUGAGUGGCGAACGGGUGAGUAACACGUGAGUAACCUGCCCCCUUCUUCUGGAUAACCGCAUGAAAGUGUGGCUAAUACGGGAUAUUCUGGGUCUGUCGCAUGAUGGGUCUGGGAAAGAUAUUGUUUCGGUGGGGGAUGGGCUCGCGGCCUAUCAGCUUGUUGGUGGGGUGAUGGCCUACCAAGGCGGUGACGGGUAGCCGGCCUGAGAGGGUGGACGGUCACACUGGGACUGAGACACGGCCCAGACUCCUACGGGAGGCAGCAGUGGGGAAUAUUGCACAAUGGGUGCAAGCCUGAUGCAGCGACGCCGCGUGAGGGAUGGAGGCCUUCGGGUUGUGAACCUCUUUCGCCAGUGAAGCAGGCCUGCCUCGUUUGUGGGUGGGUUGACGGUAGCUGGAUAAGAAGCGCCGGCUAACUACGUG
rnacentral:rRNA from 1 species